rnacentral:rRNA from 1 species
GUCAGCGGUAAAAAUUCGAGGCUCAACCCCGUCCGCGCCGUUGCAACUGGGGGCCUUGAAGUGGGCGGGAAGAAGGCGGAAUGGGUGGUGUAGGCGGUGAAAUGCAUAGAUAUCACGCGGAACCCCGAUUGCGAAGGCAGCUUUCCGGCGCCCUACUGACGCUGAGGCACGAAAGUGCGGGGAUCGAACAGGAUUAGAUACCCUGGUAGUCCGCACAGUAAACGAUGGAUGCCAGCUGUCCGGGCCGAAUGGGGCCUGGGUGGCAAAGCGAAAGCGUUAAGCAUCCCACCUGGGGAGUACGCCGGCAACGGUGAAACUCAAAGGAAUUGACGGGGGCCCGCACAAGCGGAGGAACAUGUGGUUUAAUUCGAUGAUACGCGAGGAACCUUACCCGGGCUCAAACGCGUCAGGGAUCCCCUCUGAAAGGAGGGGAGUCAGCAAUGACCUGGCGCGAGGUGCUGCAUGGUUGUCGUCAGCUCGUGCCGUGAGGUGUCGGCUUAAGUGCCAUAACGAGCGCAACCCCUACCGACAGUUGCUAACUGGUGAAGCAGAGGACUCUGUCGGGACUGCCGGCGCAAGCUGCGAGGAAGGCGGGGAUGACGUCAAAUCAGCACGGCCCUUACGUCCGGGGCGACACACGUGUUACAAUGGCAGGUACAGCGGGAAGCCACCGGGCGACCGGGCGCGGAACCCGAAAACCUGUCUCAGUUCGGAUCGGAGUCUGCAACCCGACUCCGUGAAGCUGGAUUCGCUAGUAAUCGCGC